GCGGAUAUACAAGUCAAAUGUGAAAGGUGUAGGCUUAACCUACAGACUGCGUUUGAAACUGUAUAUCUUGAGAGCAGCAGAGGAAGGCGGAAUUCCUGGUGUAGUGGUGAAAUACGUAGAUAUCAGGAAGAACACCAGUGGCGAAGGCGGUCUUCUGGGCUGCAUCUGACGCUCAUGUACGAAAGCUGGGGUAGCGAACGGGAUUAGAUACCCCGGUAGUCCCAGCUGUAAACGAUGGACACUGGGUGUUGGCGGUUCGAAUCCGUCAGUGCCGGGGUUAACGCAUUAAGUGUCCCGCCUGGGGAAUACGGUCGCAAGACUGAAACUCAAAGGAAUUGACGGGGGCCCGCACAAGCGGUGGAGCAUGUGGUUUAAUUCGAUGCAACGCGAAGAACCUUACCGAGAAUUGACAUCCCGUGACUACCUGUGAGAGCAGGGUUUGGUACUUUGUAUCACACGGAGACAGGUGGUGCAUGGCUGUCGUCAGCUCGUGUCGUGAGAUGUUGGGUUAAGUCCCGCAACGAGCGCAACCCUUGUCCUUAGUUGCCAGCAAGUGAUGUUGGGGACUCUAAGGAGACUGCCGGUGAAAGUCGGAGGAAGGUGGGGAUGACGUCAAGUCCUCAUGCCCUUUAUAUCUCGGGCUACACACGUGCUACAAUGGUCGGAACAGAGGGAGGCGAGACCGCGAGGUCAAGCUAAUCUUGAAACCGAUCUCAGUUCGGAUUGCAGGCUGCAACCCGCCUGCAUGAAGCUGGAAUCGCUAGUAAUCGCAG
rnacentral:rRNA from 1 species